rnacentral:lncRNA from 1 species
CCUUCCCUCCUUCCCUCCUUCCUUCCUUCCUUCUUUCCUUCCUUCAUUCUUCACUCCCUCCCUCCCUUCCUCUUUAUCUCCUUUCUUUUUCUUUCUCUCUGUUUCUCUCUCUCUUCUUUUUUUUUCCUCCUUUCUUUCCAUUCUUUUUUUUUUUUUUUAAGUUGGGAUUUUCCACUGUCUCCCAGGCUGGAGUGCAGUGGUGCAGGCAUAGCUCACUGCAGCCUCAAAUUCCUGGGCUCAAGCAAUCCUCGCACCUCUGCCUCCUGAGCAGAUGGGACUACAGGCAUGCGCCAUCAUGCCCAGCUAUUUUAAAAUUUUUUCUGUAGAGAUGGGGUCUUGCCAUGUUGCCCAAGCUGGUCUGAACUCCUGGCCUCAAGUGAUCCUCCCACCUUGACCUCCCAAAGUGCUGGGAUUCCAGACGUGAGCCACCGCACCUGGCCUCCAUUCCAAAUCUUAUCUCCAUUUCCCCUCUGAUUCCAUCUGCAUUCCCAUCCUCACUCCUGAUCCCAAGCCAACCCCAUCUCCAUCUUCGUCCCUACUCCGGAAACCUUCCCCACUGAAUGACCCUGGGUGUGCUGCCACCAGCCUCUCAGGGCCCCAGUUGAAAGUGUCCAAUUCUCAGCCGGGCGCAGUGGCUCACGCCUGUAAUCCCAACACUUUGGGAGGUCGAGGCGGGUGGAUCACAAGGCCAAGAGAUCGAGACCAUCCUGGCCAACAUGGUGAAACCCCCGUCUUCACUAAAAAUACAAAAAUUAGCUGGGCGUGGUGAUGGGCACCUGUAGUCCCAGCUACUAGGGAAGCUGAGGCAGGAGAAUCGCUUGAACCUGGGAGGCAGAGGUUGCAGUGAGCCGAGAUUGUGCCACUGCACUCCAGCCUGGUGACAGAGAGAGACUCUGUCUCAAAAACAAACAAACAAACAGAAAAAAAAGUCCAAUUCUCAGGACCAUCCCCAAUUGGAACCCAUGUCCAACCUCAUUCCCAUCUUCAGCUUCAACCAUCCCUGUGUCUGGUCUGCUCCGAUCUCUGCUUUCAGCGCAUGCCCCCC